rnacentral:lncRNA from 1 species
UUUACAAAAUAUAGAAUGCAUCUUAUCAUAUAUAAGAUGUGAAUUAUGAAUGUAACUUCAUAAGAUUAAGGACAAAUGGAAAAGGAUCACGUGAUAUAAUAUCCCUAAAAAUUUCCAUUAAACCUCAAUUCAACUGGCAAUAAAAAAUGCAUUCCAUGAUUACCCGCAAAAAGUAAAUUCAAGAUAAUUUAGAACAAAAACGAAGAAAACAACACAAUAUGCCAAAAACCAACGAAUUCUACUUCGUCUUUAUCCAUUUGAAACAACGAAUUAACUAAAAGAUUGAAAAUAUUAAUAACUAAAAACAAAAAUAAAAAUGAUUAAAAUUUACCAACCUCAACAAUUCGCCUGCUGUGAUCAAACAAAACAAUUGAAUUUCCUAUGUCUCCCUUCUCCAAAACAUUACAAUCCUUAGGCGUCUCGAAAAACGACAAAGAGAAUUGCUUAAACACUACACCGACAUCAAAAUAAAUCAAACCAGAACUCGGUAUUUCCACUCGUAUGCUCUUAACAGGCAGCCAAAGAAACAAUUCCUGUGCCGCUAAACCCGACAAAUUAGCAAUCUGCCCAUACGCAAUUGUUCCUUUAAUUUCACAUUCAUACCGAACCGUGGUCUCGAAUUUCGUGUCGCACGGGACAGGGGACAACAAAUUGAGCUGAAAAUUGCCGGAGGCGGGGUCGAGGGUGAAAUUGGAAACGCCCUUAGGGAAAAUGCCAAUUGGGAGUCCAUGGGAUUCCAGCACGUCGUAUAUUGAAGAUGAUGGGGAGGAUUGAGAAUCUGAUUCUGUGGGUUUUGCGGAUGAUAAUGAGAACAAGAAGAAGAUUAAUGAUAUAAACAAUUUUCUCGCCAUUUCUGUAUUGCAGACGGGAUAAAUUUUGGAAAGAUGACAAUUUGAGAAGUUAGGGUUUAGAGAGAGGUGAGGGGAAGAUGGACAAAGUGGAGGAAUAUUUUAUCUUCGAUCCUUG